rnacentral:rRNA from 1 species
GCAAAACGCGAAGAACCUUACCUAGGCUUGACAUGCAUCUCUAAGCGCGUGAAAGCGCGUGACCCUUCGGGGGAUUUGCACAGGUGCUGCAUGGCCGUCGUCAGCUCGUGUCGUGAGAUGUUGGGUUAAGUCCCGCAACGAGCGCAACCCUUGUGAACAGUUGCCAGCACUUAAGGUGGGAACUCUGUUCAGACUGCCCAGAUCAACUGGGAGGAAGGUGGGGACGACGUCAGGUCAGUAUGGCCCUUACGCCUAGGGCUGCACACGUACUACAAUGCCCAGCACAAUGAGAACCGAGACCGCGAGGUGGAGGAAAUCUAAAAAACUGGGCCCAGUUCGGAUUGGAGGUUGCAACUCGCCUCCAUGAAGUUGGAAUCGCUAGUAAUGGCGCAUCAGCUACGGCGCCGUGAAUACGUUCCCGGGUCUUGUACACACCG